UCCUCGAUAGUCUAGUGGUGAGGAUAUCGGCUUGUCACUUGUGCGAUUCGCCGGGGACCGGGGUUCAAUUCCCCGUCGAGGAG
rnacentral:tRNA from 1 species